rnacentral:rRNA from 1 species
GUUAUGCUCCAUACCACCCUGAACGCGCCCCAUCUCGUCUGAUCUCGGAAGCUAAGCAGGGUCGGGCCUGGUUAGUACUUGGAUGGGAGACAGAUAGAAUCUUAAGCAGACUCUAUGC